GUCCUUUAGAUUUUAAUUUAAGGUCUAACCUGCCCACUGAAUUAUUUUAAAUGGCCGCAGUAAUUUGACUGUGCAAAGGUAGCAUAAUCAUUAGUUUUUUAAUUAAAAGCUUGUAUGAAGGGUUGGACGAGGUAAAAUCUGUCUCUAAUUAAUUUAAUUUAGAAUUUAACUUUUAAGUCAAAAGGCUUAAAUUUAAUUAAAAGACGAGAAGACCCUAUAGAUCUUUAUAAUUUAUUUAUUAAAUUUAAUUAAGAAUUUUUAAAAUUUUAUUAAUAUAAUUAUUUUAUUGGGGUAAUAUAAAGAUUAUAAAAAUUCUUUUUUUUUAUUAACAUUAAUUUAUGUUUAUAUGAUCUAGUUUUAUUGAUUAUAAGAUUAAGUUACCUUAGGGAUAACAGCGUAAUUUUUUUAGAGAGUUCUUAUCGAUAAGAAAGUUUGCGACCUCGAUGUUGGAUUAAAAAUUAUUUUAGGUGUAGAAGCUUAAAAAUUUGGUCUGUUCGACCAUUAAAUUUUUACAUGAUCUGAGUUCAGACCGGCGUAAGCCAGGUCGGUUUCUAUCUUUAAUUAAUUAAAAUAUUUUAGUACGAAAGGACCAAUUAUUUAAUAUAUUAUAUUUAUAUUUUGAUUAUUAAUAA
rnacentral:rRNA from 1 species